ensembl:lncRNA
ACACACAGAGCGGGAACGGAAGGUUAUGGGAUGCUUUUAUUAGAACGUCCCAGCGUCCUUUGCUCCAGUUUUUAAAGCCCCGAUGGAGCAGAAGAUCUGCUUUUAAAGAAAAGGCCUCGUUUUUACAGAAGUGCUUUGAUUGAACGCAGUACAACCUGCUGUGAGGUAAACUCUGACACUAUUCGCUCACUAACUCAUUAAGUCAUCAGGAAAGCACGCCAUUCUUCUUAAAUUACACCGAGACGAACGAUUAAAGUACGUAAUACGCGUUUGCUAGUUUUGAGAACGAGCUAAAGUAAGUAAAUAUGAGUUAGUAACAGUAACGUUAUCUUAUCUAGCUUAUCUUAGCUUAUUUUCCCUGAGCUUCACUCCACUACGCUCCUCAGAGAACACGUUUAGUUCGCGUAACGUUUUUUGAACGUCACAGUUCUGCCGAUUUUUGGUUGCUAUAAACGUUUUCUGGAUCUUCUGAGAAACUGUUUUACAGCUUUUUCUGAGCGACGUUUUUUCAAGUAUAGGAACGUUAACGCAAACAUUUAUACGAAGCUGGUCUGUAUUCAAAGUGAGGUUGAUGGACUUUUUUAAAAAGUUGUAUUCGUCACAGUUCUCAGACCGCUCCGAAUUCAAACGCUGACGUUUCUCACUAUGGCGGAAGCCGUACAAGCUGGGUUAGCGAUCAGCGCUAAGUUCAAGUUCAGUGUAAUCUGAGCAGUUCGUAAUAAUUUAGCGACACACAGUAUGAGCGUAACGUUGGUGUUCCUGAUGAUUCUAUCACAAUAUACUUUUUGUUUUUUCAGAAUCUAACAGCGAUGUGCCAAAAAGGAAAGCCUAAAUCUAUACGUGUAAUUAGCUAGUUUAUGCUAGGCGUUUAUGUUGCACAGUUGCCUAGCAACAGUGUUGUUACAUGGUCAAGCUUAGCUUCCUUAUUACACAUGAAUUCAUUAUGAAGAGAAAGUGUAAGGAUCUAGGCAAAACUUUCAAAAUUGUGAAUUAGCUAGCUAGCUAGUUUAUUCUGGCACUUUAUGAGGAUCUGUACCUGACUUUACACACUGUUUAGGGAAUUUCACAAUUUUAUCGUAAACAUUGUGCCGAAAUCCCAUCAAGUACCUUUAACUCAGCGGCAACGCUGGGGUUUUUGCGUUACAGAAUACUACACAACAUGGCAAUGAACAUAUUAAACAAUAGUUAAACGCUCCUUUGUUUUAAACUCUGGAUAAAAUGAGAUUCCUUUCCUCCUUUCUUUAAACCCUACAAUAAAGCCAGACUUUAUAGCACAGGAUCCUCAUCUGCACUCUACACAUGUGUGAAAUGUGCUUUUAUGGAAAUACUGACAGAAAUCCCAGCCGAGGCUCUGAAAACAGUGUGUCACGGCGGCCUUUUCCAGCUGUGGUCAUUACUUCCUCAGACGACGACUCAUUCAGCAACAGGAUCUCCAUUUUUACCCAUGUGACAUGUAGAGGAUGUGAGCUGUGAGACUGGGAGGAAGGAUCAGUCCACACAACAUCCUUAUGAAAAGAAAACAGGCUUGCUACCGUUCGAGCCGGGUUUCAGCCAUCUUUUAGUCUUUUUCCUCUGCAGACCCACGCCUUCCUUCCUUCCUGCACAUCACUCGCUUCUCAGGUUGCAGAGCUACAACCAUCCGUUUCUUUCCUUAUCCAUUUAUUUAUGAUGUCCUUUUAUUCAACACACCUCCCAGUUAUUUCAUUAAAUAUGUAUAUACUGUAUAUUACUUCACCAAACUACACAGCGCUUUAAAUGUUGGCGUUUGCGCCCAGCUCUCCAAGUUCACUAUCAAUACAUUUCCAAAACCAUUCAGUAUUUUAGUUUUGAGAUUCCUCUAAAAUCCAAUAAAUAAAUAAAUAAAUAAAAAUACGGACUGGCACCUUGUUGAGGAAUAUUUCCUUUCCUUCUACAGAGAAACUUCAGUUUUUCUAAAUACAAUUAUUAUGUAAGUAGUCUGUGAUUAAAACUUGCAGUCCUACAUGGUAUCACUGAAAAUUUCUCUCAAUUGACAUAAACGUACACGAACAUUAAUAUAUCAGUAUUAUAUUGAAUAAAUCUCUUAUCAGAGUGAACCAAGACGGGGAUCCAGACUAAAAACAUACUAUUUGUACGUAAAAGCGACUUAUUCAAC